CAUAAUGAAAUGAAAACUCCUCUAUUUAUAGAAGAAAGGAAGCAGCUGCGAGGCUGUUCUUGAGCUGCUUGUAAGCUGCCUGCAUGAGCUGCUUGCAACCUGCAUGUUUAAUAAAAAGCUGCUGCAAAUCAUUUCAUUAAGUUGCUUGCAACCUGCCUACAUCAUCUGCUUGUAGACAAAUUUCAAUAGAGUACCAAAUGAAUAAUCUUCUUCGAAAAAAUUAUCUAUAGCGGAGUAAUAAAUAAAUAUUCACAAUAUAAUUAUUUUCAUAUUGAUAUUAAAUUUGAGCAAACUAACGGUGGAAACAUUGUCAUGGUAAUAUUCAUUGACAAAUACAGUACCAAAUGACUUUUGCAUCUCCAGUCCCAAGAUGCUAGAAAUAAAGAAGACCGCGUCCUUUUUUCUUCUUCAUUAGAUCAAGCAAUUUAUUCUUUUCACUCUUCUUCGUAUGGGCAGAAACAUGCAAUUUAUUCUUGAAAUACGUAGCAAUUGAGAAGUACUUUAGAUAUGAAAAGUGUUGCUCCACGUAAACCUUGUAAAGUUAGUGAAUUUGCAACUUUCAAGGGGUGUAUAUAUUUUUUCCUUAUUCUUCUACUUCUUCUUCUUCUUCUUUUGUUUUUUCUCUUAUAUCUUUCUCCUUCUCUUACCCAAUUUUCUUGAUUUCAUUUCCUUCUUCAAACUAAUAAAUUUUCGUUGAUAACAUUAAAUCUAGUUGAAAACUCAAAACCCUAAGAUAACCGUGAUACCAAAAAGAGAUCAAUCAAUAAGAGCAUACCUAGUUACAAAUUACGGCAAUAUAAUUUAGGGAUUUUUACCUUUCUAUAUACUAUUUGAAACUUUAUUACCAAAAAUGUCUAUGUUUAGUUAAUUACCCGACCUAAACAAAUUUUGUUUACAAAAUAUAUGCAUUCCACCUUAUAAGGCUCUCAAUCCAUUAUUAAUGCAUUCAAUCAAGGGAUUUACUUACAUAUUUUUCCUUUAUUUUUUCUCCUCUUCUCAUUCUUCUCUCCAGAAUAUUGAUGCGGGAUCCCUCCAGUACUAAAUCUCCUUUUAGUUCCCCUCAUCAAAAACAAUCUGAACAAACUGAAAUUACAAAGCAAACUUAAACUAUAAAUCACAGACACGUAUUCAUAGACACAUGUUUCUUCUUGUAAGACACAUGUUUCUUCUUGCAAAUCUAUCGGAUGCGCUAUCAAGUUGGUUCUCUGAUCUUCCUCUCAAUUUAAAGAUUCUAAAUCUCUUUAACAACCAUAUCAAUGGAAGAGUUUCUGAUACCUCAUCAAAUAUUUUCAACACAAAUACCUCAUCAAAAAUUUUAUGUGUAAGGUAAUUUAGAUAUUGGAAAUCCUUACCAACAGUAAGGCAAAAUGGAAAAAACCAUCUUCUUUAUACUUAAACUGGGAUAUAU
rnacentral:lncRNA from 1 species